rnacentral:rRNA from 1 species
GUGGAUUAGAUACCCUGGUAGUCCUAGCCGUAAACGUUGGGUGCUAGGUGUGGGCGGAUAUCGACCCCGUCCGUGCCGAAGCUAACGCAUUAAGCACCCCGCCUGGGGAGUACGGCCGCAAGGCUAAAACUCAAAGGAAUUGACGGGGGCCCGCACAAGCGGCGGAGCAUGCGGCUUAAUUCGAUGCAACGCGAAGAACCUUACCUGGGCUUGACAUGCAGGGCAAAGCCGGUGAAAGCCGGCGCUCUACGGAGCCUGCACAGGUGGUGCACGGUCGUCGCCAGCU